CGUCAUCUUGACACGAUUCCUGUCGGCAAAAACAACAACCACCACCACCACAUCCUCCUCUCACGUCUUCGCCACCACAAGCACCACCUCAGCCGUCGGCAGCCGCCAGUCUUGUAGGAGAGGAAGAAGAGGAGUAAGACCCGGUGCGGAUCCCGCGGAUCGGACUGCAGGAGCCGGGCUGACUCUGGCUCUGUGCUCCCGAUCCGGAUGCCGGAACUUGCCUGUGGAGAACAGCGACUGGGAUCUGGAGUAUUGCAGCAGUGAGUGUGUGGUACAGCACUGCAGGACGGUGUUCCUCUCGUGGCUGUCGGACCGACUCCAACGUGGCGCACCGUGAUCCCAUCGACUCUUCACACAGAGACCCAUAGACCACUCAUAGAGACCCAUCGACUCCUCACACAGAGACCCAUAGACCACUCAUAGAGACCCAUCGACUCCUCACACAGAGACCCAUA